AGAGUUUGAUUCUGGCUCAGAUUGAACGCUGGCGGCAGGCCUAACACAUGCAAGUCGAACGGUAACAGGAAGCAGCUUGCUGCUUCGCUGACGAGUGGCGGACGGGUGAGUAAUGUCUGGGAAACUGCCUGAUGGAGGGGGAUAACUACUGGAAACGGUAGCUAAUACCGCAUAACGUCGCAAGACCAAAGAGGGGGACCUUAGGGCCUCUUGCCAUCGGAUGUGCCCAGAUGGGAUUAGCUAGUAGGUGGGGUAACGGCUCACCUAGGCGACGAUCCCUAGCUGGUCUGAGAGGAUGACCAGCCACACUGGAACUGAGACACGGUCCAGACUCCUACGGGAGGCAGCAGUGGGGAAUAUUGCACAAUGGGCGCAAGCCUGAUGCAGCCAUGCCGCGUGUAUGAAGAAGGCCUUCGGGUUGUAAAGUGCUUUCAGCGGGGAGGAAGGGAGUAAAGUUAAUACCUUUGCUCAUUGACGUUACCCGCAGAAGAAGCACCGGCUAACUCCGUGCCAGCAGCCGCGGUAAU
rnacentral:rRNA from 1 species